rnacentral:rRNA from 1 species
GACAGAGGGUGCAAACGUUGCUCGGAAUCACUGGGCGUAAAGGGCGUGUAGGCGGGAAGGAAAGUCAGAUGUGAAAUCCCUGGGCUCAACCCAGGAACUGCAUUUGAAACUCCCUUUCUUGAGUGUCGGAGAGGAAAGUGGAAUUCCUGGUGUAGAGGUGAAAUUCGUAGAUAUCAGGAGGAACACCGGUGGCGAAGGCGGAUCUCUGGGCCUUACCUGACGCUCAGGUGCGAAAGCUAGGGGAGCGAACAGG